rnacentral:rRNA from 1 species
GAUGAACGCUGACAGAAUGCUUAACACAUGCAAGUCAACUUGAACUUCGGUUUGGGUGGCGGACGGGUGAGUAACGCGUAAAGAACUUGCCUCACAGAUAGGGACAACAUUUGGAAACGAAUGCUAAUACCUGAUAUUAUGAUUUUAGGGCAUCCUAGGAUUAUGAAAGCUAUAUGCGCUGUGAGAGAGCUUUGCGUCCCAUUAGCUAGUUGGAGAGGUAACGGCUCACCAAGGCGAUGAUGGGUAGCCGGCCUGAGAGGGUGAUCGGCCACAAGGGGACUGGGACACGGCCCUUACUCCUACGGGAGGCAGCAGUGGGGAAUAUUGGACAAUGGACCAAGAGUCUGAUCCAGCAAUUCUGUGUGCACGAUGAAGUUUUUCGGAAUGUAAAGUGCUUUCAGUUGGGAAGAAAAAAAUGACGGUACCAACAGAAGAAGUGACGGCUAAAUACGUGCCAGCAGCCGCGGUAAUACGUAUGUCACAAGCGUUAUCCGGAUUUAUUGGGCGUAAAGCGCGUCUAGGUGGUUAUAUAAGUCUGAUGUGAAAAUGCAGGGCUCAACUCUGUAUUGCGUUGGAAACUGUGUAACUAGAGUACUGGAGAGGUAAGCGGAACUACAAGUGUAGAGGUGAAAUUCGUAGAUAUUUGUAGGAAUGCCGAUGGGGAAGCCAGCUUACUGGACAGAUACUGACGCUGAAGCGCGAAAGCGUGGGUAGCAAAACAGG